CUUGCUUCUGAGUAGUAACCAUAAGGGAAAAAAAAGCAGCACUAAGUUUCCUGGGCUUGGGAAUCCUGAAUACACCAGUUCCAGAGAAGGAAGAUAAUGUGGUGUCAACAAAAUACUUUGCAAACAAGGAAGUGGCAAGAUCCCGGGAGGAGAAGUGGCUCUGUGUGCAGCUCAGAAAUUGAGACCACGCCAUGGCGUCACAAAGCCACCGGAGCUCCAGGGCUGUGCUAAAAUACAGAAUGAGUGUCUUACUGCUAACCUGUGUGGAUGUUUCUGGUACUCAGAAAAAUCAGGAACAUCAUUUUCAAUCUGAAGAAUUAAAUAAGAAAUUCAAUAAAGCAGGAUAAGAAAAUGGCUGGCAUGUUUUCCCAUUACCUAGAAUAGCUCUGUGGAGACCAACCAUUCCAUGAAAACAACUGCAAAACAGGAUAAUCCAGUAAAAACAUCUGCUGAAAGGCAUCAGAAAACUAGCAAGGCAGCAAGACUGAGAAGCCAAGAUAGCAGAAAGAAGGGUGUGCAGAGAGGUCAGCUCAGUAUUCGGUGCCACUUUUCCUUGAGGCAUUUGUCAACUCCUAAACAGCAGCCUAAAGAUGAAGGAGCUGAGCAGAUAUUCUAAGAGUUUCACGGGGAUAAGGAAUAACAUGGAAGCUUAAGACCCAAUAAGAAGCAGACAAAAUAUCCCAGCAUUUCAGUUGGAACCCUGGAUGGGAUUCAUUUCAGGAGUAAUAGGGAACCAGAAACAAAGGACGGUCAUGAAGAUUCAAGCCCACUGAGAUUAGACUAGCUGAUCUGCCUCUACCCUAACUUUCAACCAGAAAGAAAAUAAACCCGCUAGCAGUAACACCAUCUAGAGUCUGGAAUUAUCUCUGAAAAUUUUCACAUACCAUAUCCUGAUUUCAAUAAAAAAUUAUCAGUCAUAUUAAGAAGCAAAAUAAAUGAUCAAAAGCCAAGAGGAAAAAAAUCAAGUAAAAGAAACGAGCCAACAGGAGACAGGACACGGUGGCUCACGCCUGUAAUCCCAGCACCACAAGGUGGGUGGAUCACUUGAGGUCAAGAGUUUGAGAUCUGCCCGGCCAAAAUGGUGAAACCCCAUCUCUACUAAAAAUACAAAAAUUAGCCGGGCAUAGUGGUGGGUGCCUGUAAUCCCAGCUACUUGGGAAGUUGAGGCAUGAGAAUUGCUUCAACCCGGGAGGCGGAGGUUCCAGUGAGCUGAGGUUGUGCCUCUGCACUCCAGCUUGGCUGACAGAGCAAGACUCUGUCAAAAAAAGAAAAAGAAAAAAGAAAAGAAAGAAGCCAACAGGAGAUCCAGAUGUUGAAAGUUUUCGAUAUGGAUUUUUAAAUUACUACAGUUAAUAUGGUCAAGAAAUUUGCUGGUAGUAUGAAUAAUUUCAAAAAAGGACUGGAAAUUUCAGAACAGAAUCAAGUGGAAAUUCUAGAACUGAAAAUUAGAAAAACUGCAAUCAGACAUCAAAAGAUAGGACUAAGGCCAUUUAUGGAAUAUGGUCUGAAAGGUCUAAAAUAUAUGUAACUGGAGUUCCAGAGAAGAGGUAACAAGAGACUAGAACAGAGGUAAUAUCUGAAGAAGAAGUAGCUGAAGAAUUUCCAAGUGAUAAAAGUCACAGUUCACAAAAUACUACUGUGCCCAACUGGGAAAAAUUCAAAACAACCGCCUAACCACAUAAAAAGAAAGCUAUCUAAAAAGACAAAGAGGAAAAUCUUUGCAGAUAGAAAAAAAAACACACAUAAUACUUUUAAAAGGAAUAAUCAUCAGUCUGACAGUUAAUUUCACAAUUGAAAUAUUGGAAGCCAGAUGACAACAAGCAUCUUCAAAACAUUAAAAGAAAAUAACUGCAGCCUAGAAUUUUGUAUCUAACAAAAAUAUUCCCCCAAAUAAAUGUUAAAUAAAAACAUUUUUAUACAAGCACAAAACGAAAAGAAAAUGUUACCAGUAGGGCUGCAGCAAAACAAAUUCUAAAGGGAGCCCUUGAAGUCAAAAAAAAUAAUUUCAAGUGAAAGCACAGAAAGAACAAAGAAUAAAUAAAUACAUAAAUAGCAAUGAAAAAAACUAAAUGAAUAUUAAACAUGUAAAAUAACAAUCAUAUAUUGAGGAGUUUAUAGAAUAAUAUACAAAUAGCACUAAAAUAAAUGACAAUAGAAGAAAAUGGGAGAAGUAGAAAAGUAAAGUGAAAUCAUUUUAAAACCUUAGAUUGUCCAAAAAGUGGAAAAAUUACUAAUUUUUAUUAGAAUUAAAUAAGCCAGGAAUUCAUGUAUAAUCUCUAGAGUAACACCUAAAAAAAUUAGCAGUAAAAGAAUGGUGAAGAAGAAAAAAAGAAAAAUUAAUUUUUAAGAAAGAAGAGGAAAAUAACAGGUAAGAACAAAGAAAAAAACACACAUUGACAAAUUUUGAAGGAUUGAACUUAUACAGCGUGUGGUCACUGGAAAUGAGUUAGAAAUCAAUAAUAGAAUGUAAACAAAAAACUAUCAAAUAUUGAAAAAUUAAGCAAUACUCUCCUAAAAAGUCCCAUAGCUAAAGGGCGAAAUCCCAAUGAAGUUAGAAUACACACUGAGCUGGAUGAUAAUAAAAUAUUACAUAUCAAAACUUAUAAAAUGCAGCUAUGGAUGUGCUUUAAGAAAAAAUGAUCAUCUUCAAUACAUCUAUUCUAGAAAACAGAAGGGCUAAAAAUCAGUGAUUGAAGUAUUCACCUAAAGAAGAUAGAAAAAUAAUAGUAGAUUAGACCCCAAUAAGUUAGAAAGAAAGAGUAACAAAGAUUCAAACAGAAAUUGAGUCAGGACAAAAAAUGCAAUGAAGGUAAGUAAAAUCCAAAGUUGUUCCUUGAAAAGGCAAAUAAAUGUAUAACCUUUGUAAAAACUAAUAAAGAAUAAAAACAGUGAAGUUACUGAUUACCAACAGAAAGACUAAAAAGGAAUGUCACCAUAAAGUCAACAUUUAUUAGACAGAUUAAGAGAAUUUUAAGAACAAUUUUGUGCUAACAAAUUUGAAAACUUACAUUAAAACACAUUUUAUCAAAAUUGAUACAGUAGAAAAUAAUUGGAAUAAUUCUAUACUAACAAUAAUUUUGAAUCUGAAAUUAAAACCUUGCCACAAAGAAAAUUCAGACCCAUAUGUAUUUAUUAAUGAAUUUCUCUAAACAUUUAAGAAAUAAAUAACACCACUUACACAAUCUAUUGUGUAGAAUAGAAGAGAGAACACUUUUCAUCUCAUGUUGUGAAUCCAAGACACCCUGAUGAGUAUAUUAUAAAAAAGGAAACUUCUAACUCAAACAUUCUGAAGCAAUAUCAGCAACCUAAUCUGGUGAUUUCUAAAAAGAAUAACAUAUCACAACUAAGUAGGUUUUAUUUAGGAACAGACCCUUGAAUUUCAAUCAUGAUAACUCAGUACAAUAAUAAAGGAGAAAUUAUCCUGUCACUAUCUCAAUAGAUGCAGCAACAAACAGAUGUUGAAUUUUUUGAUAAAAUCCAAUGCCCAUUUAUGAUAAAAACUUCCUAACUAGCAAUAGAAAGAAAUUUCUUUAAUAUGAUAGAGUAUUUACAAGAUAAUCUUGAGAAAGUUUUCAGAAUUAACAUCAAGAGAAGGAAAACUACAGCCAAAUUGUAAAAAAAAAAUUCUCAGAUGAAAUUAUGAAGUUUAUAAGGCCCAGUUUUCAAAGCCUUCAUUUUCACAGGCCCCUAUAAGUGUUAGGAAUUGCUGGGGAUUGUAGAGAAUUCUGGAGAGAGAGCAAAGUGGGUUGCAACCAAGAAACAUUUAUAUGUUAACAUGUCUGGAAAAUUGUGUAAAGUUGCCUCAGAAGAAAUGAAAAAUCUCUAAGUUUCCAAUAAUUUGUGGUACAUAUUUCUUAAUCUAAAUAAAUAUUCAUUUUCAUACUGUAUAUUACUGCAUUCUCACACUACUAUAAAGAACUAUCUUAGAAGGGGUAAUAUAUGAAGAAAGGAGGCUUAAUUGGCUCACAGUUCUGCAGGCUUAACAGGAAGCAUGGGUGGGAAGCCUCAGGAAACUUACAAUCAUGGCAGAAGGCAAAGGGAAAGUAAGCAUGUCUUGUCAUGGCAGACCAGUAGUGAGAGAGAAGGGGGAAGGGCCACACUCUUUUAAGCCAUCAGAUCUUGUGAGAACUCACUCACUAUCAUGAGAACAGCAAGGAGGAAAUCCACCCCCAUGCUCCAAUCAUCUCCCAUCAGGCCCCUUCUCCUGUUUGACAUGAGAUUUGGGUAAGGACACAAAUCCAAAUGAUAUCACAUACCUUUAAAAAGCAUUUUCAAAAACCUAUGAUAAAUAUCAUAUUUAAUGGAGAAAUAUUGAAAACUUUUUAUCUGACAUUGCAAAGGAGACAGGUUCCCCUUAUUAACAACAGUUUUAUUUAACAUUGGUAGGAAAAAGAUCCUAGCAUGUAUAAUAAUGCAAGAAAAAUAAUACAUAUAAAGAUUAGAAAGAAAAACUGUCAUUACUUAUAGAUUGUAUUAUAUCCAAGCUGCAAGAUAAUCCAUAGGAAAAUUAUUGUGAUUAAAUGAAUUUAGAAAAAUCACAGAGUUCAAGGUCAAUAUGAAAAAUCUCUGUUUAUAUACCAAUAAGUGAUUAAAAAUGAUAUUUUAAAAAUUAUAUCAUUAACAAUUAUAUCAAAAGACCAAAUAUCUAGAAAUAAAUUAACAAAUGUGCAAAACUCUACACAAAAAAUAUGAAACAUUAUUUAAAAAAAUUUCAAAAGACCUAAAUAAAAGGAAGACAUUCAAUACCAUAAACAUGUAUAUUAUUUUUAAAUUAUUCUAUAAAGAGUAUCUCCAAUACUGAAGGAAAUAAUGUAUACAAUGGCCCAUGGUCCAUUUCCAAGACGAAGUGCCUUAAAUAGACUUACGUUAGCAAACUACAGAAGAAACAGAACAUACUAGGCCCCUGCUUGGAUAGCCCAUGCCUGCUUGUUGGCCUCCCCCUCCCCCACUCCGCCUCCACAACCCUGUUUCCUUGCCUUCACCAGAACCAAAGAAGUUUAGUCUAAGAUAAAAGUUUACUAGCCUGCAAAAUAGUUCGUUUUGUCUGUUUUUAUUAGCCUGCCCAGCUACUUAGCUCAUAAGUAAAUACUUGAAGAGCCCCUGAGCUAACUAGGAUUGCAAUGCAUUGUGGGCUGCAACAAAAUGCCGCAAAACAACCCUAAAAACAAACAAAACACCUAAAGCCCCUGCCCAACAAUCAAUAGGUGACGUCCAGGAAGAUUGUGACCCCCUAGUAUUCAGCCUAUGAAAAACCGGGAGAGGGACCUGCACACUAGGAGUUAAAUUGCUUGUUAAAACUGUGCUGUGUGUGCCUGCACAUCAGACACCCAAUUCUUGCAAGAGCAUCAUUAAAAGUUUCACUUUCGCUGUUCUCCAGGUCUCUGAGUCCAUUCUUUGGGUUUGGACAGGUAGGUUUGUUUCUCACAAUACCAGGUAUAAUACCAGUAGAAUGUUUCAUAUAAUUUAACAAGUUCAUUAUAAAAUGUACUUGAAAUUGCAAAGAGCCACAAAAAAAACCCAGACAAUAUUGAUGAAGAAAAGACGAAGUCAGAGGACCUAUACUACAAGAUAUCAAUAUAAAUUAUAAAGGUACCAUAAUUAAAACUGUGGAACUGGAGUAAACAUGGACAAGUAGACCAAUGUAGUUAAAAACAAUUCUGAAAAAGACCCACACAUAUAUAGAUGCUUGAUUUAUUACCAUGUUGCUACUGUAAACAAGGGAAAACUGUUUUUUAAAAUAAAUUAUGCUGAGUCAGGCCAGGCACAGUGGCUCGCGCCUGCAAUCCCAGCACUUUGGGAGGCCAAGGUUGGCUGAUCACUUGAGGCCAGGAGUUCAAGACCAGCCUGACAAACAUGGCAAAACCCCUAUCUCUACUAAAAUUAUGAACAUUAGACUGGCUCGGUGGCACACGCCUGUAAUCCCACCUAUGUUGGGUGGCUGAGGCAUGAGAAUUACUUGAACCCAGGAGGCAGAGGUUGCAAUGAGCCAAGAUAGUGCCAAUGCACUCCAGCCUGAGUGACAGAGUGAGAUUCUGUCUCUAAUAAAAAAAAAAAAAAAAGAAAAAGAAAAGAAAAGAAAAAAGAAAUUAUGCUGAGUCAGUAGAAUAUCCAUAGUGAAAAAUAUUAACCCUUCCUUCAUACUAAAUACCAUUUUAGGUGAAUUGAAGAUUAGUAUGAAAGAAAAAAUAGAGUUUCUAAAAAAAUAAUGUUAGUAUUUUUAUGACUUUUGGGUAGGCAAAAGUUUCUUAAGCAGAGCACAAAAAGCACUAGCCAUAAAAGAAAAGACUAAGAAAUUGAGAAAUUAGACCACGUUAAAAUUAAGAAUUCCUGUUUAUCACAAGACAAAUUAAGAAAGUGAAAGGCAAGUCUCAGAGGUAUUAUUUGCAAUAAAUAUAACAAAGAAAGAAUUCACAUUGAGAGUAUAUCAAGAACUUAGAAAAAUCAAUUUUUUCAAUACGACAGAAAACUUGAUUUUAAGAUAGGCAAAUUUAGUCUUGCUAACUUUCAGGGAGACACGAAUUAAAGCUAAAACGAAAUACCACUGCAUAUCAAACAAAAUGGUCAAAAUACAAAACGACUCAUAUGUCAAGUAUUGUAAAGGAUAUGGACAGAGCAACUGGAACUCGAAGUCACUGCUAAUGGGAGUGUAAAUUGGUAUAAUCCCUUUGGAAAACUGUUUGCCAGUAUCUACUAAAGCUGUAUGUUUGCAUAUCAUAUCACCCAGCAAUUCCAUUUGUAGAUCUGCGCCUGACAGAAGUGUGUACAAAUGUGAACUGAAAGACAUUUACAAAGUGCUUAUGGCACUGUUAUUCUUAAUAGCCUCAAAUUAGAGAAAAUUCAAGUGUCUAUCAACAGUAGAACAAAUAUAUUCUAGUAUAUUUAUUCAAUGUAACACUAUGUAGCCAUGAAAUAAACAUGUGUAGCAACAUUCCACAUGGAUGAAUCUCUCCACAGUAUUGAGUGAAAGAAGCCAGACACAAAAGAAUAUGUACUAUAAGAUUCCAUUUAUAUAUUUAUAUAAUGUACAAGCAGGGUCAAAGCUAAUCUACAGAGCUUAAACCUCAAGGUAUUAUCUGUGGCUUGUUAGAAACUGGGCUACACAGCAGGAAGUGAGUGGCAGGCGAGUGAGCAUUACCGCCCGAGCUCCAUCUCCUGUCUGAUCAGCGGUGGCAUCAGAUUCUCAUAGGAGUGUGAACCCUAUUGUGAAAUGUCCAUGCGAGGGAUCUAGGUUUCAUGCUCCUUAGAAGAAUGAUGAUCUAGGCAGGCACGGUGGCUCACACCUGUAAUCCCAGCACUUUGGGAGGCCGAGGAGGUCGGAUCACAAGGUCAGGAGAUCGAGACCAUCCUGGCCAACACGGUGAAACCCCAUCUCUACUAAAAAUACAAAGAAUUAGCCGGGCAGGAUUUCAUUCAGACCAUGCUAGAAAGAUGAUUACCUGAUGUUUUCUUAUGGUUUCUCCCUUAAUCAUUCAUCAUUCCAUCUAGCUGUGUUAGAGUGUUAAUGGUUUUGAAUUUCUCAUUUAUAUCUUUGGGUCAGUAAAUUGAAUUUAAUCCAGAUUAUAUUUUUGGGUAAAGAGAAACUUAAAAAAAAGCUUUAAAAUUAAGGGAUCUACAAACAUGAUCCCUUCCCAUGAAAUUAAAAUUUGAUACAAAGUCUAUCAGGAAAACUUCUAACCUUUAAGAUUUGUCAGGAAAAUUGUGAAACACUGAAAUAUGCAAAAUAUUAGUGGAUGUCCUAUCUAGUAUACCCUUCCAGAUUAUCUGAGUCAGUCAGAAUAUGAGCCUCACAUUGUCUUUCUGCUACUUUACAACCAUGUAGUUGUAAGGCACAGAAUAAUACAAACAAUUCUUUUCCAUAAAAAUGCAAAUAAAUUGUGUCCAGUGAAAUGAAAUGGAUAAUUGGCCUGUGGCUAUUAACCAGUUUUGCGUCUGUUUCACAUUCAUUUCAGCAUCCUUGAUUGCCCAUAUAUGUGUGCUCUUAAAAUUCUCCUUUGAAUUAUUUGUAACAUCUUACUGAUCCCCUCAUUAAUUAAUGAGCUUAAUAAAGUCUUUGAUACCCAUUCUUUUUACAUUUGAAUAAAAGACAUGAUUUUAACCUUUCUUUAAAAGUAUCCCUUGACAGAAUCUAUCAUUAAAAGUAUGACUUUUGAUCCACCUUCCAUAAACAGGCUUUCCUAAAAUUUCCAUUAAGUCAUAAGCCAUCCCAUUCAAAUUACUCAAAAUAAAAUACUGCAGCAUCAAUAUUUUGAAUCCAAAUAUGAAUGAAUCCAAAGCACCAUCAUUAUAUGAUAUAAGUUUACUAUUUAUAUAUCCCUAGAAGCAAAAAGGCUGCCAAUUAAACUAAGACAUAAUGCUUUUUUAUCAAUUAGAUUUCAUUUUUUGGAUAUCUGUAUCAUAUAUUCCACUGUUCUGCCCCAUGCCUCUCAUGUAGAUAGAUGAGUAUAUAUUACUUAUCCUUCUAAGCCUAAAUCAUAGGAUUUGGGAAUCAUCAGAAUACCUGAAGUGCAUAUAACUCAAUUAAACUUUGACAUUAUGACCACAUUCACACAUGCACAGAUAACAACUCCAUCAAAACCACCACCUACCCAACAUGGAUUUUGAGUCCAUCAAUUCAAAGAAGCAUCCCAGUUUCAGGUAUGUUCAAAUAUGAAAAAAUAGACAUCUUAGAAUGCAUAAAACACCACAAAUAUAAGUGCAAAAACAUAUAGCAGGAUUAUAAAUGGCAAAUAGCUUACAAUCAGAAAACCUGUCACUAGAGGGUCAUCAUUUCCUUAAAUAGUAACACUAGAAUAAUCCACACAGACUGCUAGAAAUUUAUGAAUCUUAAAACUGACAGUCAAAAUCUCAAUGAAGCCAAAUAACUCUUUAGGGCAAGAAAAGGUGAGAUCCUUGACUGAACUAAGGUUAUUCAAUCUCUUGUUUACUAAAACAGUGGUAGGGGUGGUUUGGUCUCUAGCAGAAGGGCAAACAAGAUGGUAUCACAUAAUGCAGCUGGCUUAAAGCAAAAUAAUAAAAAUGAAAAAACACUCAUUCCUCUACUUCUAAGAAAAUUAUAUUCUUCCUUUUUGAUGUACUGCUGACAUUCCUUUCCUCUCUUCAAUCCUAGAUUAGUUAACAGCUUGUAAAACUGCUGUUAUUAUAAUGACAAUCUCAAUCAACUAUAUCAUAAGGCUUUUUGCCUAAAGGAUCAUCUCUCCAAGUUGUAAUCUCUUUGAAGACUAAGGAGACAAAAGUCUCUCUUGAACACUAAGGUCUUUUCCAAAUUAAAAAAAAAUAUUCUAAAUAUUUAUGAACGAUAUCAAUCAGACUUCCUGCUAAAUAUUACUUCUUAGUUUUUAGGCUUUUGUAAUAUGUUAUAAAAGUUUCCAUUGUCUUUGUAUUGUUGAAGGCUACAAUAUUGCCUAGCACAUAGUAACAGCAAAUAAAUGUUGGUAAACUAGAAACUGACUCUCACAGUGGCCUUGAUUCUCACAGUUAACCUAGAAGUAAGUACCGCAACAAUGUUUAUUCCCAUUUCAUAUAUAAAGAAACUGAAGGUUGGAGAAUUUAGGGUUUUGCUCUAAAAUCACAGUUAAUAAGUGGCAUUGUCAAAACUGAAUCCCAGGCCCUUUGUCUCCAAGACCAGAGCAAUUCUUACAGUAACAGACUGAACAUCCCAUGCCUAGAUUUCCUUCCCUCUCUCUUCUCUUACCUACUACAUGAUACUUGACUCAGGAUUCUGGUUUGCUGAAUUACUGAAACCACAUCAACAGUGAGUCAAUGGUAAUUCUCUACCUGGUUACAUUUACAUUUUAGCACAGAUAUUGUAAGAUAAGGUGCAGCAGAGAUUAUUGGAAAUACACAUAUUGACAGUCAGAUAGCUCACUUCUAGUGGAACUAGAAUAUUUAAUUUUCCUGUGUCUCAAGUCCUUUAUCUGCAAAAGCAGGUGAAAUGCAGAUGAUCAAUAAGGUCUUUUCCUAACUAAAAACCUAACAUUCUAAAUAUUUAUCAAUUAUACAAAAUCAGAUCACCUGCUACAUUUUACUUAAUACUGGCCUUGAAAAAAAAAAGAAAACUAUAAAAACCUGUCUGUUAGAUUCUGCAGUGGGCCAAAAACAGAAUAUAUAAACAAAAAUUUAAAUAUAUUCCAACCGUACUACUUGACUAAGGACACUGUCUGUACCAAUUUAAAACUAGAAGGUUUUAAGGAUAAAUGAGAUCUAUACAGGCACAAUUGUCACAGCAGUCCUUCUAGGUAUACAAGAUACUGAAACAUUUUACUGGCCUAUAACUUACUUUUUCAUACAUGGCAAAACUAUAUUUUUCUCAUUACAAAUGCCCUAGCUCUCCCCACAAAGUUAUUGUGAAGUCUCCAAAUAUUGCUAAUUUGUCCCUUAAAGCAAAAAUAUAAAACACUUUGUGACAUAUGAAAAAUGUUCACCAUGUCCUUUAGUUGCUUCAAGAUAUAGCAUAUAAAUCUUUGAGUUUCUAAACAGAACCAUACUAUCUAGAUAUUUUUGUCUAAAAGAUUUAAAGCUUAAAUGUGCUACCUUUUUUUCUCUCUUGCAGCUUUCAAGUCACUUAGCCUGCUCCAGUCUCCAAG
rnacentral:lncRNA from 10 species